CCCCACCAGCCCUCAGGGACGGUCAUUUAAAAAAAUCACAAAGCACUAAAGCGAGAAUCAGCCCUGAUGGGAAAUCCUUGUCUAUUGCACUGUGCAGCAAAAAUAAUGUGGGAAAAAACCGUCUACUUUGCAUGCGAGUGUUCCAGAGGGAAACUGAGUCAUGGGAUGUGUCCAAGGGCCCAAGAUAAGAGCUCAGCCAGCCAAAUCCCACUCCAAGUGACUUCUCUCCCCUACAGAGCAAGAAGAGCUUCUGCAGCUGAAGCUGAAGAGGAUUUUUAAUCUGCUUCCACUGCCAGUUGAAGGUCUUGGACUUCUAAGCUCUGAAUGUGUCUGUGCCAAGC